UUGUUGAAUGGAUGAGUGGGUGGAUGACAGC
rnacentral:piRNA from 1 species